GAAGAACCACGAAGCUAGCAACUAAAUCCUGGAAUGCUGUUGCAGAAAAGCUCCACAACUUUGAUGGAAAAUAGCCAAAAGCAUCAGCCUCUGCCUCAGUUUCAUGUCCUAAAUCUUGAGUGGUAUACGUAAUUGGUGGAACUUAAUUUGCAUCCAGACCUCUGGAGGCAAGGGAAUCUUGGGAAGCAGUCUUUGGCUGUCCAGGAAGACAAAUAAAACAGAAGGGAAACUACUCCUCUCUUUGGAAGAUGGAACCAGAAAAGGAAACCGCCCUACACCUGUAGCUGACCUUUGCAAUAGGCCUGUAGGAGCUGCCCCAGUUCCAGGCACACAAGGCAAAUGGCUGCAUCCUUGCUGCCUCAGGCCUCCUCAAAAUGCAUCUUCCAGGGACCGAGAAUCCACCCUGCUCCACAAGCAAACAUGUGAGCGUCAGCCAGACACCUUCUCCUCCAUCAUCUCCCACAGUCCUUCCAUGUCUAAUUCCUGAAACCCAGAUGUCUGCUUCAGGAGCCUAAAAUAAAGUCUCAACUUUUUCACGGUCAAA